rnacentral:rRNA from 1 species
GACGAACGCUGGCGGCGUGCUUAACACAUGCAAGUCGAACGGAAAGGCCCUGCUUGCAGGGUACUCGAGUGGCGAACGGGUGAGUAACACGUGGGUGAUCUGCCCUGCACUUCGGGAUAAGCCUGGGAAACUGGGUCUAAUACCGGAUAGGAGCCAUUUUUAGUGUGAUGGUUGGAAAGUUUUUUCGGUGUAGGAUGAGCUCGCGGCCUAUCAGCUUGUUGGUGGGGUAAUGGCCUACCAAGGCGGCGACGGGUAGCCGGCCUGAGAGGGUGGACGGCCACAUUGGGACUGAGAUACGGCCCAGACUCCUACGGGAGGCAGCAGUGGGGAUUAUUGCACAAUGGGCGCAAGCCUGAUGCAGCGACGCCGCGUGGGGGAUGACGGCCUUCGGGUUGUAAACUCCUUUCGCUAGGGACGAAGCUUUUUGUGACGGUACCUAGAUAAGAAGCACCGGCUAACUACGUG